rnacentral:rRNA from 1 species
UACAGAGGUCCCAAGCGUUGUUCGGAUUCACUGGGCGUAAAGGGUGCGUAGGUGGUGAGGUAAGUCGGAUGUGAAAGCUCGGAGCUCAACUCCGAAAUGGCAUUGGAAACUACCUUGCUCGAGGGUUGGAGGGGGGACUGGAAUACUUGGUGUAGCAGUGAAAUGCGUAGAUAUCAAGUGGAACACCAGUGGCGAAGGCGAGUCCCUGGACAACUCCUGACACUGAGGCACGAAAGCUAGGGGAGCAAA